rnacentral:rRNA from 1 species
GACGAACGCUGGCGGCGUGCCUAAUACAUGCAAGUCGAACGCAGUUUCGAAAGGGUGAGUAAAGCGUAGGUAACUGCCUCAUAGCGGGGGAUAAAUAUUGGAAAAGAUAGCUAAUACCGCAUACUGUGAGAUGGACCUGCGUUGUAUUAGCUAGUUGGUGAGGUAAAGGCUAACCAAGGCGACGAUACAUAGCCGACCUGAGAGGGUGAUCGGCCACACUUGGACUGGGACACUGCCCAGACUUCUACGGGAGGCAGCAGGAGGGAAUCUUCGGCAAUGGACGGCAGUCUUACCGAGCAACGCCGCGGUAGUGAAGAAGGUUGUUGGAUCGUAAAGCUCUGUUGUUAGGGAAGCGGUACCUAACCAGAAAGGGACGGCUAACUACGUGCCAGCAGCCGCGGUAAUUC